GUCGCAUCGCCAUCUUUUGACGUAAAAACGAAUUCAACUCAAAUUUACGUCAAUUGUUUGCUUAUCAGUGCUCUUAUAAUGAUAUAAUUUUAUGAUUUUUUAAAUGUUAUUUUUCUUAAUUUUUCAAAAAUCCAAAAUACAACAAUUUUCAAUAAGUAGUUAAAAAGCAUCGUCGAUUUUGCGGAGUCUUACAAGAAUGUCGCACUUGCUUAAAAACAACGUUUCAGUCGAAGUUUUGGUUUGAACGUUACGAAAUAUUCGCGACGUUGUGUUACGCUUACAUGUACGAACAUCGCGCGUAACGUCAAUGU
rnacentral:lncRNA from 1 species